rnacentral:rRNA from 1 species
UACGGAGGGAGCUAGCGUUGUUCGGAAUUACUGGGCGUAAAGCGUGCGCAGGCGGUUCGUUAAGUUCGAUGUGAAAGCCCCGGGCUCAACCUGGGAAUUGCAUUGGAAACUGGCGGGCUUGAGUGUGGCAGAGGGGGGUGGAAUUCCACGUGUAGCAGUGAAAUGCGUAGAGAUGUGGAGGAACACCGAUGGCGAAGGCAGCCCCCUGGGCUAACACUGACGCUCAGGCACGAAAGCGUGGGGAGCAAACAGG